rnacentral:rRNA from 1 species
AUGUACCAUGCGCUCACGCAUUCUGAGGUACCAAUCAGUAAUAAUAAAAAAAAUUGAAAGUCUAAGAUUCCGCUAAAAGUGGAAAUCUUCAUGUAGUAUCUUCGUAAGGGAGUUGUGUUAAUUAAAAACAACCUCGCACGGCGCAACUGGCUAGGGAGUAAGAAGUGUUGUUUUUGUACUCAUAACGAGACAAUCUAACACAUUUUUUUUCCAAUGCAAGUUUGCACGUUCUACGUGGUCUGUCAUCCAAGUAGCGUCAAAUUUGUAUCCACCCACAAGUGUUGCCAAUAUUUUUGGUCAUUGGUUGAACGGUAUUCCAAAUAA